rnacentral:rRNA from 1 species
GUAGUCUGCAACCCGACUACAUGAAGCUGGAAUCGCUAGUAAUCGCGGAUCAGAAUGCCGCGGUGAAUACGUUCCCGGGUCUUGUACACACCGCCCGUCACACCAUGGGAGUCGGAAAUGCCCGAAGUCUGUGACCCAACCAUUAAGGAGGGAGCAGCCGAAGGCAGGUCGGAUGACUGGGGUGAAGUCGUAACAAGGUACC